GUUGAAGACACCCUUUGUGAUGUAUAAUGUAGUUAAAGUAGUAAAUAUAUUAUGUUAUGUCUAGAGAAAACUAAGAGGGAUUAAUUCAUGUAUUUACUAUGAACGGUUGUGGUGAGGGUUCUUUCGGGUGUAAUUGGGAUAAUGGAUAGUUAGUUUUGAGUUUGUAAUUAAUGAUUAUUUUAUUUAUGAUAAAAAAUGGAAUGGCAGUUAUAUAGCCCCUAUGUUAAGAGAGUGAACCAUGUAAAUAUUUUGUUGUAGUUGUUUGCUUUGUCCACAAUGCAUAACGGAGUUGUUUUGAUAUUCUGUAGUUGCAAGAUAGGGAAAAGAAGUCUAAAAAAGGAUUUUUCAAUUUUUAAAAUUUCGUCUUGUAUUAAAAGAAUAGAUGUUAGCAAAAAUACUUUGUGAUCAUGGAAUUAUAUAGGAGUUCUCUCACUCAAUCCGUUUUAUAUUUGAGUGUGCUUCAAUCCUCUCUCUUAUAAAAAAUUAACUAAUCCUUAUAAUCUUAGGGUUUCACACUAUGGUGAACU
rnacentral:misc_RNA from 1 species